rnacentral:rRNA from 1 species
GGGUCAGUAGGUUGGUCGUGCCACCGGUACGUACUGGUCUCACUGAUUCUUCCAUCCUGAAGAACCGUAAUGCCAUUAAUUUGGUGUUGCGGGGAAACAGGACUGUUACUUUGAAAAAAUUAGAGUGUUUAAAGCAAGCUAACGCUUGAAUACAUUAGCAUGGAAUAAUGAAAUAGGACGAUCGAUCCUAUUUUGUUGGUUUCUAGGAUUGACGUA